UGAGGUGGUGGUGCCAUUUGGCACCAAACAAGUCUGGUGCAGCCCAGUGGGGGGUCCUGGGGUAGGGGUGCCUGGCAACUGGUUUGCUUAAGAGAAUGGGACCUUGCAGGAGAAGGAGGAGGGGGAGAGGAAGGGAAGAAGGAGUUGAAAGAGCAGCAUCAGCACAGAUGGAGAUCCAGAGCAGGCGCUGAACAGCUCCAAGGGGUCAGCCUUGAUUCAGGCAGAGGUUGUCUGGCGAAGGAAGGACCCAGGGGACCAACUGCAUCUAGGACGUCACAUGUCUGGACGUGUGCCAUGGUUAUAUUUCCUGCACUGUCCAAUACAGUAGCCACUGGCCACAUGGGGCUGGUGGGCACCUGAAAGGUGGCCAGUCCAAAUUGAGACAUGCUAUGGGUGUGAAAUACACAUCAGCUUUUGAAGACGGCGCCAAAAAAGGACACAUGCUGAGUGUUGAGGAGCCAGCAGUGACCAAAAUGGACAGAGUCCCCUGGCCUCGUGGUGUGGUGGGGACAGAGAAUUAUCACGAAGAUUCGUCUGUGUUUUUGUAUUUGAGCCCCUUUUGCUCCUGAGGUAACUGGGGCACCGAGAGGUGUGGCUUGGGGGCGUGAGGAGGAGGAGGUGUCACACAGGUUGGGCCCCAGAGUGGCGCGGGUCCCGGAUGCCCAGGCCGCCGAGGGGCGCUCUGGCGGGUGGGACGCGGGCAGGUGCACUCACGCGCGGGGCCGCCCCCGGGCCGGCCUUUC